rnacentral:rRNA from 1 species
GCGCGUGUAAGAGCGUGUGGAGGACCGAACCCACUUCAGUUGAAAAUGGAGGGGAUGAGCUGUGGGUAGGGGUGAAAGGCCAAUCAAACUUCGUGAUAGCUGGUUCUCCCCGAAAUGCAUUUAGGUGCAGCGUUGCGUGUUUCUUGCUGGAGGUAGAGCUACUGGAUAGGCGAUGGGCCCUACAAGGUUACUGACCUUAGCCAAACUCCGAAUGCCGGCAAGUGAGAGCGCAGCAGUGAGACUGUGGGGGAUAAGCUUCAUAGUCGAGAGGGAAACAGCCCAGAACGCCAACUAAGGCCCCUAAGCGUGUGCUAAGUGGAAAAGGAUGUGGAGUUGCUGUGACAACCAGGAGGUUGGCUUAGAAGCAGCCACCCUUGAAAGAGUGCGUAAUAGCUCACUGGUCAAGUGAUUCCGCGCCGAUAAUGUAGCGGGGCUCAAGCACACCGCCGAAGUUGCGUCAUUCAAAUAUUAACCUGGUUUCGAUUGGGUGUUUGGAUGGGUAGGGGAGCGUCGUGUGGACGGUGAAGUCGCGGUGUAAACCAGCGGUGGAGGCCACACGAGUGAGAAUGCAGGCAUGAGUAGCGAAUGACGGGUGAGAAACCCGUCCGCCGAAUGAUCAAGGGUUCCAGGGUUAAGCUAAUCUGCCCUGGGUUAGUCGGGACCUAAGGCGAGGCCGACAGGCGUAGUCGAUGGACAACGGGUUGAUAUUCCCGUACCGGCGAAGGACCGCCCAUACUGAGCUGUGGAUGCUAACCAUGAUUGACGCUAGCUGUUGGUGCCUUCGGGUAUCUUGCUGGUUGAUGUGGUGGGAACCGAUGCAGUGAGGUCAGCGUAUUAACAGGUGUGACGCAGGAAGGUAGCCGAGCCAGGCAAUGGAAUUGACCUGGUCCAAGGGUGUAGGAAGAGUGGUUGGCAAAUCCGCCGCUCAUAUAUUCUGAGACCUGAUAGGCGCCCCGUUUUCGGGGUGAUUCGGUGAUCCUAUGCUGCCUAGAAAAGCAUCGGCGCGAGGUCCAAGUCCGCCCGUACCCCAAACCGACACAGGUGAUCAGGUAGAGAAUACUAAGGCGAUCGAGAGAAUCAUGGUUAAGGAACUCGGCAAAAUGCCCCCGUAACUUCGGAAGAAGGGGGGCCUGCCCCGUGAUGAGAACUUGCUUCUCUGAUGCGGGUGUGGGCCGCAGAGACCAGGGGGAAGCGACUGUUUACUAAAAACACAGGUCCGUGCGAAGUCGCAAGACGAUGUAUACGGACUGACUCCUGCCCGGUGCUGGAAGGUUAAGAGGACUGGUUAGCAGUAAUGCGAAGCUGAGAAUUUAAGCCCCAGUAAACGGCGGUGGUAACUAUAACCAUCCUAAGGUAGCGAAAUUCCUUGUCGGGUAAGUUCCGACCUGCACGAAUGGAGUAACGACUUCCCCGCUGUCUCAACCAUGAACUCGGCGAAAUUGCAGUACGAGUAAAGAUGCUCGUUACGCGCAGCAGGACGGAAAGACCCCGAGACCUUUACUAUAGUUUGGUAUUGGUGUUCGGUGCAGCUUGUGUAGGAUAGGUGGGAGACUGUGAAGCUUGGACGCUAGUUCAGGUGGAGUCAUCGUUGAAAUACCACUCUGGCUGUACCGGUCACCUAACUUCGGACCAUGAUCUGGUUCAGGGACAGUGCCUGAUGGGUAGUUUAACUGGGGCGGUUGCCUCCUAAAAUGUAACGGAGGCGCCCAAAGGUUCCCUCAGCCUGGUUGGCAAUCAGGUGUCGAGUGUAAGUGCACAAGGGAGCUUGACUGUGAGAGUGACAGCUCGAGCAGGGACGAAAGUCGGGACUAGUGAUCCGGCGGCACCUCGUGGAAGGGCCGUCGCUCAACGGAUAAAAGGUACCUCGGGGAUAACAGGCUGAUCUUGCCCAAGAGUCCAUAUCGACGGCAUGGUUUGGCACCUCGAUGUCGGCUCGUCGCAUCCUGGGGCUGGAGUAGGUCCCAAGGGUUGGGCUGUUCGCCCAUUAAAGCGGUACGCGAGCUGGGUUUAGAACGUCGUGAGACAGUUCGGUCCCUAUCCGCUGCGCGCGUUGGAAAUUUGAGAAGGGCUGUCCUUAGUACGAGAGGACCGGGACGGACGAACCUCUGGUGUGUCAGUUGUACUGCCAAGUGCAUCGCUGAUUAGCUACGUUUGGAAGGGAUAACCGCUGAAAGCAUCUAAGCGGGAAGCCUGCUUCGAGAUGAGAUUUCCAUGCACCUUGAGUGUGAGAGGCCCCCAGCUAGACCACUGGGUUGAUAGGCAGGAUGUGGAAGCAAGGACUAAAGACUUGUGUAGCUGACCUGUACUAAUAGGCCGAUGACUUUCAACACACAAUAAAACAAUAUUUGAACUGAUGAUUUCAAUGCUGUUCGCGUUCACUAUGCGGUUACGAGACAACAACCUCUA